GAUGAACGCUGGCGGCGUGCCUAAUACAUGCAAGUCGAGCGAACAGACGAGGAGCUUGCUCCUCUGACGUUAGCGGCGGACGGGUGAGUAACACGUGGAUAACCUACCUAUAAGACUGGGAUAACUUCGGGAAACCGGAGCUAAUACCGGAUAAUAUAUUGAACCGCAUGGUUCAAUAGUGAAAGACGGUUUUGCUGUCACUUAUAGAUUGAUCCGCGCCGCAUUAGCUAGUUGGUAAGGUAACGGCUUACCAAGGCAACGAUGCGUAGCCGACCUGAAAGGGUGAUCGGCCACACUGGAACUGAGACACGGUCCAGACUCCUACGGGAGGCAGCAGUAGGGAAUCUUCCGCAAUGGGCGAAAGCCUGACGGAGCAACGCCGCGUGAGUGAUGAAGGUCUUCGGAUCGUAAAACUCUGUUAUUAGGGAAGAACAAAUGUGUAAGUAACUAUGCACGUCUUGACGGUACCUAAUCAGAAAGCCACGGCUAACUACGUG
rnacentral:rRNA from 1 species